rnacentral:rRNA from 1 species
UGGGGAAUCUUGCACAAUGGGGGCAACCCUGAUGCAGCGACGCCGCGUGAGCGACGAAGCCCUUCGGGGCGUAAAGCUCUUUCGACCGGAACGAUAAUGACGGUACCGGGAGAAGAAGCUGCGGCUAACUACGUGCCAGCAGCCGCGGUAAUACGUAGGCAGCAAGCGUUGUUCGGAGUUACUGGGCGUAAAGAGUGCGUAGGCGGUUUUCUAAGUUCGGUGUGAAAUCUCCCGGCUUAACUGGGAGGGUGCGCCGAAGACUGGGAAGCUGGAGUGUGGGAAAGGCAGGCGGAAUUCCUGGUGUAGCGGUGAAAUGCGUAGAUAUCAGGAGGAACACCGGCGGUGUAGACGGCUUGCUAGACCAUAACUGACGCUGAGGCACGAAAGCGUGGGUAGCAAACA